ensembl:snoRNA SNORA70 Small nucleolar RNA SNORA70
CUUCAAGCCGACUGUACUCUUUCCUUUCUCCAUGGGGGACCAGCAUGCCAUGCUGCAAAGAGUAGCCUCCUUGGUGGCAUAUGGAACCCGCUGACUGCAUGAGUUGCCCCAAGAGACCUUGAACAUAGCC